UAUGGCCACAUCAAGUUGAAACACCAGUUCUUGUAUGAGCAUCAAAGUUAAGCAAUAUUGAGCGUGUUCAGUACUUAGAUGGGUAACUGCUUGAGAAUACCAAGUGCUGUAAG